CCAAUGUACAUACUAGAUCACACUGGUUUGCCAUCGCAAUUUCUUUAAUUCCCUGACUCCUACUGCCUUUUCAGAACUUUCCAGGCAUGUCUGUAAGCAGUCAGAGGCUAAAAGACUGGAGAGACCAGGAUAACCAGGACAAAGCCAAUUUCUUCUUUUUUUUUUUUUUUUCCCAGGUGUUCAUGUCUUGGCAUGGAGAGAGCUGUUCUGGUCUGUCACCUCUUCUUCCCUGCACCACCCAUCUACUGCUUCCUUCAAUAGGUUAUUACAAAAGUGAUGGAAGAUUUUCCCACAAGGAAGCGUUAUCCCUGAAGAACAGCUGAACAGUCAGUGCUUAUUGGGAAUGCUAGGAGAGCUCUUGGACUGAGACUUGAGUGACCACCAAGGUGCAACUGUAGACACAGAGUUCAAAAUGCCCUUAUGUGGAUACAUUCAAAAGUCACUUAGUAGACCUAGACCACAGAUACACAUGCACCUUGUGAUUGCUUGGCCUUCCUGAAGGUCUUAUAUCCCCCCAGGUGUUUGCUACAGUGCUGCUGUGUGGUAGCACUGGCAGAUGUGGAGGACAAACAUGUUCAUGGUUUGGCUGUGGACAGACAAGGACAGAGCCAGGAUCACUGCAACCUCGUCCCUGAUUCCUGGUCACCAGGAGUGCCCAACCUCCUCAAAGCAACCGCCCACCAACACCUGCCAGCAGAUUUGUUGAGCCUCUCAAGAAACUGGAAUGAAAAUAUUUUACUGUUAUUACUGUUCCUGGGAACAACUUGUCAACAUGGACCCACGUUAAUGCAGAAAACUCAAAAUAUGUGGUAUGUGGCUUUGUAUUUUUCCUUCAUCAAAGAGAUUAUAUGGGGUGAAGGUCUGUUCACAUGAAGGCAGUGAGAGAUACUGAUGCUGUACUUAGCAAAACAAGAGAGGCACUUGCAUAAAUAUGUGUGCAUAUAUGCAAAUAUCUUUUUA